CCUACGGGAGGCAGCAGUGAGGAAUAUUGGUCAAUGGCCGGAAGGCUGAACCAGCCAUGCCGCGUGAAGGGCAGGGACCUAUGGGCGUUAAACUUCUUUUGUGCGGGAGCAAUAAUGGUCACGUGUGGCCAGACGAGAGUACCGUACGAAUAAGCAUCGGCUAACUCCGUGCCAGCAGCCGCGGUAAAACGGGGGAUGCAAGCGUUAUCCGGACUUAUGGGGGUUAAAGGGUGCGUAGGCUGUGAGGUAAGUCAGCGGUGAAAUGCCCCCGCUCAACGGGGUGAAGUGCCAUUGAUACUGCCUUGCUGGAGUGCGGAUGCCGUGGGAGGAAUGUGUGGUGUAGCGGUGAAAUGCAUAGAUAUCACACAGAACACCGAUUGCGAAGGCAUCUCACGAAUCCGCGAUUGACGCUGAUGCACGAAAGCGUGGGUAUCAAACAGGAUUAGAUACCCUGGUAGUC
rnacentral:rRNA from 1 species